CCUACGGGGGGCUGCAGUAGGGAAUCUUCCGCAAUGGACGAAAGUCUGACGGAGCAACGCCGCGUGAGUGAUGAAGGUUUUCGGAUCGUAAAACUCUGUUGUUAGGGAAGAACAAGUAUCGUUCGAAUAGGGCGGUACCUUGACGGUACCUAACCAGAAAGCCACGGCUAACUACGUGCCAGCAGCCGCGGUAAUACGUAGGUGGCAAGCGUUGUCCGGAAUUAUUGGGCGUAAAGCGCGCGCAGGCGGUUUCUUAAGUCUGAUGUGAAAGCCCACGGCUCAACCGUGGAGGGUCAUUGGAAACUGGGAGACUUGAGUGCAGAAGAGAAGAGCGGAAUUCCACGUGUAGCGGUGAAAUGCGUAGAGAUGUGGAGGAACACCAGUGGCGAAGGCGGCUCUUUGGUCUGUAACUGACGCUGAGGCGCGAAAGC
rnacentral:rRNA from 1 species